ACCUGUCCCUUGGGAGAGAGACGGCUUUGGAAUGACACGAUCACUCCCGCUGAGCGGGCAGCCUGAGGCCAUCGGGGAUGUCGUGUCUGUCCAAAGCUCUUUCGGUGCCUCCGAGAGCCCCC
rnacentral:pre_miRNA from 10 species